rnacentral:rRNA from 1 species
GAUGAACGCUGGCGGCGUGCCUAAUACAUGCAAGUCGAGCGAACAGAUAAGGAGCUUGCUCCUUUGACGUUAGCGGCGGACGGGUGAGUAACACGUGGGUAACCUACCUAUAAGACUGGGAUAACUUCGGGAAACCGGAGCUAAUACCGGAUAACAUUUGGAACCGCAUGGUUCUAAAGUGAAAGAUGGUUUUGCUAUCACUUAUAGAUGGACCCGCGCCGUAUUAGCUAGUUGGUAAGGUAACGGCUUACCAAGGCGACGAAACGUAGCCGACCUGAGAGGGUGAUCGGCCACACUGGAACUGAGACACGGUACAGACUCCUACGGGAAGCAGCAGUAGGGAAUCUUCCGCAAUAGGCGAAAGACUGACGGAGCAACGCCGCGUGAGUGAUGAAGGGAUUCGGCUCGUAAGACUCUGUUAUUAGGGAAGAACAAAUGUGUAAGUAACUGUGCACGUCUUGACGGUACCUAAUCAGAAAGCCACGGCUAACUACGUG